rnacentral:lncRNA from 10 species
CGCCCAGGCUGGAGUACGGUGGCGCCAUCUCGGCUCACGGCAAGCUCCACCUUAUGGGUUCACGCCAUUCUCCUGCCUCAGCCUCCCGAGUAGCUGGGACUGCAGGCGCCCCCACCACGCCCGGCUAAUUUUUUGUAUUUUUUUUUAGUAGAGACGGGGUUUCACCGUGUUAGCCAGGAUGGUGUCGAUCUCCUGACCUUGUGAUCUGCCUGCCUCAGCCUCCCAAAGUGCUGGGAUUACAGGUGUGAGCCACCGCGCCCGGCCUCUCGAGCUCAUUUUUAAGGUAACGCUGCUAGGGUUCUGAGUUUGAGAAGGGAUCUUCUAAAGGUAAGCUUAAUAUUGCAACUUUCACCACAGGGCCUCUGUCUAAAUUGCAUUUCAAGUGGAAGGAAAGGGGUGUAAGAAGUGAAAUAGAAUUUUGCUGCAGACCAAAAUCAUUCUACAAAAUGUAGAAAUGAUAAUAGCUUACCACAAAUUCAGCAAGAUUUAACGCCAAGUACAGCGGUGUAGACUUUACAAGUAUCCACUUCCGUUGGGUGAUCAGACAAGCUGAAGGGACACACAGGAUUUGGGACAGUAGCCCUUUAGACAAUGCUGGGUGUUGAAGACAGAACUUCAUCGUAAAUCCGUAUGUUCUAAUCUGAUAUUUAUACAGGCUAUGAUCGUCUCCUGAAAUGUUUCCCAAUUCUUUAUAUGUCUUUUAAAGCACAAUUUAACAUAUGCUAAAAAAUUUCCUUCCGCAUCCACCAGUUUUGAAUUUAAACUCAACUAAGUCUGCCAGGUCGUACAAACCACACCUUAAUCAUUCUAAGACAACUCUUAAAAUUAAUCUACUUGUAUUGUUCUGCUUGUACCUUAACUAUGGCAUAAUGAAUUUGCUAAUUCAAAAUGUUGCAGAGCCAGUAACCCCAGUGUUAUCUGCAGACCAUCUGAGGAGCUCUUCGGGACACGCCUGCAGUGUUGCAGACAGGAUGGAAUGCAGGCAAGAGGGUUCCAACUCAGAGCGCAGACCCUUGGGAAAAGCACUUGCCUCCUGGUAUUUUUAAGGAAAUGUAAGAGUGUGAAUCAGGUACUGAUGGUUUUGACUUCAUUAUGAUCAGCAUCUUUGGCUUCCAUCAGAGUAGACACUGAACGUUUUCAUCCAACCGGAUGAUGAGUGCAUUACAUGAAAAAUCAUUUCAAAAGGAGAUCAGGGACUCCAGGAAGCAGAGCGUAACUCCCCACUUCUAAACUGUGGGCUUCACAUAAUGACAUCCUACCAAGAAAUCAGUAUAGCAAAGGAGGAAAAAGAGUAACUUCGCAUUGGAGAAACCUAACAAACACUGUCUCAGCCAGGUGAUCAAGGCCACUGUGAGCAGUGAUCAGUCAAGUCGAAAGUGCAUAUCAUAUGACAGGAUGAGAAUGGCAUUUUACCUCGACAUCUUCCCUCCCAAAACUAAUAAUCCUACUACAUCAGACAAACCUCAGCUGAGAAACAGUUUCCAAAAACACCUGACUAGUACCCCCUAAAACCAUCAAGGUCAUCAAGAACAAUGUAGUCCUGAGAAAUGAUCACAGCCGGGAAGAACCUAAGGACUUGGUGUCCUUUGGUAUCCUGAUAUGGAAUCCUGGAGCAGAAAAGGACAUUAAGUAAAAACCAAGGAAAUAGAAAUAAAGUAUAAACUUAAUAAUAUAUCAAUAUUAAUUCAUUAAUUGUGACAAAUGUAACAUAGUAAUGUAAGACAUUAAAAUGGGGAAAAUUGGGUAUGAUGUGGAGGAGAACUCUGUGUAUUCUAUUUGCAACUCUUCUGUAAAUGUAAACCUAUUUGAAAAUUAAAAAUUUAUUUUUUAAAAAGAAAAUUAAG